UGACGAACGCUGGCGGCGUGCCUAAUACAUGCAAGUCGAGCGAACAGAAGGGAGCUUGCUCCCGGAUGUUAGCGGCGGACGGGUGAGUAACACGUGGGUAACCUGCCUGUAAGACUGGGAUAACUCCGGGAAACCGGAGCUAAUACCGGAUAGUUCCUUGAACCGCAUGGUUCAAGGAUGAAAGACGGUUUCGGCUGUCACUUACAGAUGGACCCGCGGCGCAUUAGCUAGUUGGUGGGGUAAUGGCUCACCAAGGCGACGAUGCGUAGCCGACCUGAGAGGGUGAUCGGCCACACUGGGACUGAGACACGGCCCAGACUCCUACGGGAGGCAGCAGUAGGGAAUCUUCCGCAAUGGACGAAAGUCUGACGGAGCAACGCCGCGUGAGUGAUGAAGGUUUUCGGAUCGUAAAGCUCUGUUGUUAGGGAAGAACAAGUGCGAGAGUAACUGCUCGCACCUUGACGGUACCUAACCAGAAAGCCACGGCUAACUACGUGCCAGCAGCCGCGGUAAUACGUAGGUGGCAAGCGUUGUCCGGAAUUAUUGGGCGUAAAGGGCUCGCAGGCGGUUUCUUAAGUCUGAUGUGAAAGCCCCCGGCUCAACCGGGGAGGGUCAUUGGAAACUGGGAAACUUGAGUGCAGAAGAGGAGAGUGGAAUUCCACGUGUAGCGGUGAAAUGCGUAGAGAUGUGGAGGAACACCAGUGGCGAAGGCGACUCUCUGGUCUGUAACUGACGCUGAGGAGCGAAAGCGUGGGGAGCGAACAGGAUUAGAUACCCUGGUAGUCCACGCCGUAAACGAUGAGUGCUAAGUGUUAGGGGGUUUCCGCCCCUUAGUGCUGCAGCUAACGCAUUAAGCACUCCGCCUGGGGAGUACGGUCGCAAGACUGAAACUCAAAGGAAUUGACGGGGGCCCGCACAAGCGGUGGAGCAUGUGGUUUAAUUCGAAGCAACGCGAAGAACCUUACCAGGUCUUGACAUCCUCUGACAACCCUAGAGAUAGGGCUUUCCCUUCGGGGACAGAGUGACAGGUGGUGCAUGGUUGUCGUCAGCUCGUGUCGUGAGAUGUUGGGUUAAGUCCCGCAACGAGCGCA
rnacentral:rRNA from 1 species